UGUAUGAUUAGCGCCAUUAAAAUGU
rnacentral:piRNA from 1 species